UACGGGGGGGGCAAGCGUUGUUCGGAAUUACUGGGCGUAAAGGGCGCGUAGGCGGCUUGGCAAGUGGAAGGUGAAAUCCCUCGGCUUAACCGAGGAACUGCCCUCCAAACUGCUUCGCUUGAGACCGGGAGAGGUGAGUGGAAUUCCCAGUGUAGCGGUGAAAUGCGUAGAUAUUGGGAGGAACACCAGUGGCGAAGGCGGCUCACUGGACCGGUACUGACGCUGAUGCGCGAAAGCGUGGGGAGCAAACAGG
rnacentral:rRNA from 1 species